UAGAAAUGAACACAGAAGCGGAGCAACAGCUUCUCCAUCACGCCAGAAAUGGCAAUGCUGAAGAAGUAAGACAACUAUUAGAGACCAUGGCGAGGAAUGAAGUGAUUGCUGACAUUAAUUGCAAAGGAAGAAGUAAGUCUAACUUGGGCUGGACACCUCUACAUCUGGCAUGCUAUUUUGGACACAGACAAGUGGUCCAGGAUCUGUUGAAGGUCUAUUUAUGACUUUAAUUUUUAAUGACUACAGUAAAUAUUAUUGUUAUGGAAAUUUUAAGAUGAAAGUCUUAGAAAAGCCACCUGAGCCAUAGUGACUUAUUUAAAGCAAUAGUUCAUCAUUCAAGACACUUAAUUGUUCUUUAUUAAAUACAUGAAUUAGGUUAGCCUGAUUAGUUAAAAUUGUAUGUUUAAUCAUUAGAUUUUUUUAUUACUAGCUUUUACAAAUUAUAAAAGUGGGUGUAUUAAUGAAGAUUUUAUUUUCAGUUUUAUGAGUGUGACAGUUGAAAAAUAACCAAAGCACACCCCUAAAUAAUUAAAAAAUAAUGUCAAUACACAAAUAAAAAUUAA
rnacentral:sRNA from 1 species